UCAAACGAUUUUCGUUAAAGACAGAUUUCCAGUGUUAAAUGCCUUUUGAUUAGGUAGUUUGUGUUAAAAGUGAAGUAAAUAUCAUCAAAGUUGAAAACGCCUAGGCAAGUCCACAGUGCAGCAACGCCGUUAACAGACAAGUCAUUACCGUUACAAUUAGGUAAAUAUGACGAACCGAUACACAGAAGGUGAGCAAAGUUUGAUUUUGAAGUUGAUUCAGUACUUCCAAGGGGAAAAAGAAGCAGGCAAAACUUUAACACCCGUAAGCGCAGUAUAUGAUAGGGUUUGUGCUGCCCUGGGUGUAUCGUUGUGGACUGUAAAAAGAAUUAGUACAAGAGGUGUUAAAAAAGAUGACGAUUAGGUACAAAUCGCAAAAAAGUGUGGCUAUUAGUUUAUCUCACGGACCUCCGCUGCAUGAAAUACAUGAACAUGUAAUAAGGACACGGAUUUAUGCAAUGUAUGCGACAGGUAAAUAACAUUCUUUAUGUUCUAAGGGAAGAUUUGCUUCAAAUGAAGACGUUCGCGAGAACACUUAUGGAAUUGAUUUUAUAGGUGAGAAUGUUACACUCCGUUC